AAAAAGGAUCACAAUAUAUAAAUACUAGAUUUGGUAUUACUGUGUAACAGCUUUAUACUUUUUCAUAUAGUAUACAGCAAUAUAAUCCUCUGAAACCUAAGGAGAAUAAAGUUUUGAGAAGAUUGGAGAAAGUGUGCAGUUGCAGCAAUACAGGUAUAAAGAAAGCUGGGAACUGAGUUUUCCCAGGGCUAAAAUUUUGCUGGGAAAUAGAGCAAGAGGAGAGAAACAAAGCUAUUGAAGUUUUGCAGAAGAGUGAUCAUAAUGGACAGUGGACAGGAACCAUGAGAACUGGAAGAGAAGAUAAGUAGCUGGUUCUGCCUUUAUUGCUAAUGGAGAAAGAUUCAACAGAACAUUCUGGAUGGUGGCUACCUGGGUGUAGACAUAGGAAGCAAAUGAGAAGAGAUGAUCCCUUUUGGAGACAACCACAUUCAGUGACCAAACUGCCUUACUGAGCUGUGUGAGCCAGAA